AGAGUUUGAUCCUGGCUCAGGAUGAACGCUAGCGGCAGGCUUAACACAUGCAAGUCGAGGGGGAACGUGAGUGCUUGCACUUGACGACGACCGGCGCACGGGUGCGUAACGCGUAUAGAACCUACCUUUUACAGGGGAAUAGCCCAGAGAAAUUUGGAUUAAUGCCCCAUAGUAUUAUUGAAUGGCAUCAUUUAAUAAUUAAACAUUUAUGGGUAAAAGAUGGCUAUGCGUUCUUUAGCUAGUAGGUAAGGUAACGGCUUACCAAGGCUACGAUAGAUAGGGGCCCUGAGAGGGGGAUCCCCCACACUGGUACUGAGACACGGACCAGACUCCUACGGGAGGCAGCAGUGAGGAAUAUUGGACAAUGGAGGCAACUCUGAUCCAGCCAUGCCGCGUGCAGGAAGACGGUCCUAUGGAUUGUAAACUGCUUUUAUAUAGGAAGAAACCUUUUCACGUGUGAAAAUUUGACGGUACUAUAGAAUAAGGACCGGCUAACUCCGGGCCAGCAGCCGCGGUAAUACGGAGGGUCCGAGCGGUAUCCGGAAUCAUUGGGUUUAAAGGGUCCGUAGGCGGGAAUCUAAGUCAGUGGUGAAAUCUUACAGCUCAACUGUAAAAUUGCCAUUGAUACUGGAUUUCUUGAAUUAGUGUGAAGUGGUUAGAAUGUGUAGUGUAGCGGUGAAAUGCAUAGAUAUUACACAGAAUACCAAUUGCGAAGGCAGAUCACUAACACUAUAUUGACGCUGAGGGACGAAGCGUGGGGAGCGAACAGGAUUAGAUACCCUGGUAGUCCACGCCGUAAACGAUGGAUACUAGCUGUUCGGACUUCGGUCUGAGUGGCUAAGCGAAAGUGAUAAGUAUCCCACCUGGGGAGUACGUUCGCAAGAAUGAAACUCAAAGGAAUUGACGGGGGCCCGCACAAGCGGUGGAGCAUGUGGUUUAAUUCUAUGAUACGCGAGGAACCUUACCAGGGCUUAAAUGUAGCUGGACAGAUUUAGAAAUAGAUCCUCCUCGGACAGAUUACAAGGUGCUGCAUGGUUGUCGUCAGCUCGUGCCGUGAGGUGUCAGGUUAAGUCCUAUAACGAGCGCAACCCCUGUUGUUAGUUGCCAGCGAGUCAUGUCGGGAACUCUAACAAGACUGCCGGUGCAAACCGUGAGGAAGGUGGGGAUGACGUCAAAUCAUCACGGCCCUUACGUCCUGGGCUACACACGUGCUACAAUGGUAGGGACAGAGAGCAGCCACUGGGUGACCAGGAGCGAAUCUAAAACCCUAUCACAGUUCGGAUCGGAGUCUGCAACUCGACUCCGUGAAGCUGGAAUCGCUAGUAAUCGCAUAUCAGCCAUGAUGCGGUGAAUACGUUCCCGGGCCUUGUACACACCGCCCGUCAAGCCAUGGAAGCUGGGAGUGCCUGAAGUCCGUCACCGUAAGUAGCGGCCUAGGGUAAAAUUGGUAACUAGGGCUAAGUCGUAACAAGGUAACC
rnacentral:rRNA from 1 species